ACGCUGGCGGCGUGCCUAACACAUGCAAGUCGAACGGGGUUAAGUCUUCGGAUUUUACUUAGUGGCGAACGGGUGAGUAACGCGUGAGAAACCUGCCUUUCAGUGGGGGACAACAGUUGGAAACGACUGCUAAUACCGCAUAACAUAUCGAAGGGGCAUCCUUUUGAUAUCAAAGCUUUAUGUGCUGAAAGAUGGUCUCGCGUCUGAUUAGCUAGUUGGUGAGGUAACGGCUCACCAAGGCGACGAUCAGUAGCCGGUCUGAGAGGAUGAACGGCCACAUUGGGACUGAGAUACGGCCCAGACUCCUACGGGAGGCAGCAGUGGGGAAUAUUGGGCAAUGGGGGAAACCCUGACCCAGCAACGCCGCGUGAAGGAAGAAGGCCUUCGGGUUGUAAACUUCUUUUACCAGGGACGAAGAACGUGACGGUACCUGGAGAAAAAGCAACGGCUAACUACGUG
rnacentral:rRNA from 1 species